AGGUAUCUUCUUUGCUUGUCUUUGGUGCAAUUGGUUCACUCGCAACUCGACUAUCUUUAACAACGGACACACUUCCUACACUAAACUUGGGAGAGGGUUACUUUUUUGGCUACCCUAUAGGUCAAAACGCAUGGUCACCUCUGAGACAUUAGCAUUUAUGUUCUCCAUGGAAGAUGGGAUGUUUUUAUUAAAAGCCUGUAGCCCUGUUUGUUUGUCUUUCCUUCUCUUGCCCUCUCCCUCUGGGUUUUCUCUGUAUCUUUUGGAGGAUGUCUUAU
rnacentral:lncRNA from 1 species